AAAUAAAGAAAAUACCCACUCAGGGUAGGAUAAGUUAUUUCAGUAGAAGUUGUGGAUAGUGGGAUAGGGAGAAGAAAUAAGUCUUCCAAAAUCAAUUAUUUUUUAUAUUCACAUCCAAAAGUCACCCUAAAAAUAAUGUCUCCGGGUCUGGUGGUUGUGCUUUACCUACUUUAGUAAAUCACUAACACUUGUUCAUAUCUUCAAUCUAGUCUCUCUGACUAACAUCUGAGGGCCAGCUAAUAGCAGCUAAUCAGCUGCUACGAAGUACAUGUUGCCUGCGUGUGUAAGGCUUUGCAGAUGAAAUCAGCUACAGAACAACAACCUGAGCCAAACCACCCAGACUAUAGGUUAUGCCACCGCUUUGUCAGCUUUGGAAUCAAGCCACUGACCAAGGUGACCACCACGUGAGCAGACCCAGGAGAUGUGGUGAAAGGAUUGCGUUUGUGAGGGCUCCUGCUUGCCAUGGACUCAUCAGCCAUGUCACCAACCCUCGGGAGGACCUAAGGAGCAGGACGGAAGGGCUGCCUGAUCUGCAAGAAGAGGAACUCAGGUGGCACCUGGCCCUCCCCCUUCUACCUCCCUCAGCUCUGGGCUCAGCCUCCUCUCCAUGCAGGCCGGCCUUCUCAAUGGGCGGAAAGCAGAGCGGCUUCAGCCCCUGACUGGCCUCAGCAGCCCUCCAGGAGCACCGAUGCCCCAGAGCCCACUUCAGAUGUGACCACGAGGACGCAGCUCUUCCAAGACACCACGAUCAAGAAUUCCUGUCACUGCCAUCCCCGGAGGUCAUUAGCUGCAGAAACUGCGAGGUGACUUACAUGUCUUUUUCUCCUGAGAACAUGGGCCAGGGGAUAGAGGUCAUAAAAUCUCUAAAAUUUUCCCUGUGCUACGACUUGAAGAAGACAUGUUUCGGGAGAUGGGCCUCCGUGCCCUAUGUGAUGUGUGAUCCUCGCAGGGCUGCGGGUUGGCCUCUGACUGCGCAUGUGCCUGCACCCUCCAGCCUGGCAGUCAACCCGUGAGUUCCCUCCAGAUUUUCUUUGCUGGCAGUGGCAUGUUUUCAGGUCUGGUGGGGAGGCAGAGCCAUGCCCUGAGGUCAAUAGUGACUUGCAAGCCUAUGUUUACUUUGACUUAGGUUUUAUUGGAACCCUGUAACCUUGGGCUGAGAGGACAGUUCUCAAAUGUAUUUUUUCUGAAGGGCAAAGUCAAGAGGUUCCCGUCCCCUGUUUUCUGCAGGAAUUGAGAUAAGGGACCUUUGGGAAAAUGGUUGAAGCUGCUGCUCUUCGGGUUCUGAGACUUCUGACUUGCAGACUUUUCACGGGGAGAUAUGGGUUCACACUGGCCAGCUCUGCCUCUCAUGGGGGACCCUUCCCGUGAGAGGGGGAAGCUAGACUCUGCCACUCGGGAUGCUGAACCUUCUUCCUUUCUCUCAGCACCCUCUCUCUGCAGCUGAUGCUCUUAAUGCAUUGCCAAUUAUGUGAAUAAUACAGAAAGUUCUCGUGUUUAUCCCUAGAACAUUCUGAAACCAAGAGCAUUAAGCAAACCCCUGUAAUAAUAAACUUCUGUGAGGCUUACUUAGUGCUCUGCCUUGUUUUAAGCGCUCAUUGACCCCACAUACAGCUCAGCUUUAUUGUCUCCUUUUUAAAGGUGAGGGAAUUGAGGCACAGAAAGCUCAAGACUGUGAGCCAAGAGAGCAGAAGGACAGAGAAGUGGCUGCAGGCAUCCUGGCUGCAGAAUCCAGGCCCCUGGCACCUGUGGAAGGCAGCCUCUAAGGUGGCCCCAGCAAUCCCUGCCUUCUAUAUCCCUGUCCUUGAGUGGGA